GAUGAACGCUGGCGGCGUGCCUAAUACAUGCAAGUCGAGCGAACAGACGAGGAGCUUGCUCCUCUGACGUUAGCGGCGGACGGGUGAGUAACACGUGGAUAACCUACCUAUAAGACUGGGAUAACUUCGGGAAACCGGAGCUAAUACCGGAUAAUAUAUUGAACCGCAUGGUUCAAUAGUGAAAGACGGUUUUGCUGUCACUUAUAGAUGGAUCCGCGCCGCAUUAGCUAGUUGGUAAGGUAACGGCUUACCAAGGCAACGAUGCGUAGCCGACCUGAGAGGGUGAUCGGCCACACUGGAACUGAGACACGGUCCAGACUCCUACGGGAGGCAGCAGUAGGGAAUCUGCCGCAAAGGGCGAAAGCUUGACGGAGCAACGCCGCGUGAGUGAUGAAGGUCUUCGGAUCGUAAAACUCUGUUAUUAGGGAAGAACAAAUGUGUAAGUAACUAUGCACGUCUUGACGGUACCUAAUCAGAAAGCCACGGCUAACUACGUG
rnacentral:rRNA from 1 species